CUCUCUCUUUAAAAAAAAAAAAAUCCAAGUAAAGAGGACCAUGGAGUGGUAGUUAGACAUUGAUUGAAUUCUGGUUCUUUUAGUGAUAAAACUGGUAAGAUUUACUGAUAGAUCCAGAUAUAGGGUGUAAAAUAAAGGAAAUCAAGGUGACUCCAAAAGUUUCACCUGGACUUAAGCCAGUACCCCCAAACAAUCCAAGGAUGACCACUUUCCUCUUAUUUGAAAUCGCAAGAAAUCCUUGGAAGAGGAUUGAUAUACAAGAGACUUGAUACACACCUGGAAUGGAAACUAGGAAAAAGUGAUGGGAAACUCAGUAGUAAGAAAAUGGCAUACAAAUUCAAAUUAGUAUGGGGUACCACUACACACUUUUCAUAAUAGAUUUUUAAAAAUUACCAAAAACGUCACUGUGUGUGGUGGAUCACACCUGUAAUCCCAGCAACUCCAGAGGCAGUAGGAUCACAAGUUUGGAGCCAGCCUGGGCAACUUAGCAAGAUUCUGUCAAAUUUUUAAAAAAAGUAUAGUUCAGUUGUAAACCAUCCCUGGAUUUGAUCCCCAGUACUGCUAAAUAAAUAAAUUAAAUCAGAAAUGUGAAGUGCUUACAAGGACAUAGAGCAACUGGAGCUAUUAGCUGGCAGAAAUGCAAAAUGGCAAAGGUAAUCAAGAUAUUGUGGUGUUAACUUCAAGAUAGACAAAUAGGUCAAAAAACAAUAGAAAGUCAAGGAAUAGACUCAUACAUAUAUGGUGAAUUGACUUUUUUGGUGGGGGGAUUUACCUGGGAUUGAACUCAGAGCCACUCAACCACUGAGCCACAUCCAUAAUUCUAUUUUGUGUUUUAUUUAGACAGGUUCUCACUGAGGUGUUAUCACAUUGCCAUUGCUGAGGCUGGCUUUGAACUUGUGAUCCUCCUGCUUCAGCCUUCCAAAGAUUUCAGGCAUGUGCCACUGCACCCAGCUAUGAUGAACUGAUUUUUAACCAAGAUACAAAAGCAAAUAGUGCUGGAACAAUUGGAUAGUCACAUUCCCAAGGAAUGGAGCCAGCUCUAUAUGGACUAAGACUUCUGAAACGCUUGGUAGUAGGAGCUGCUGCAACCAGACUGAACCAUGGUCUUAAAGGUGAAAGUCAUGAUUGUGGAGAGGAAAGAUGGAAGGAGCCCACAUCCCUGAUAUCAGGAGGAUGUGGUGCCAACCCACCACUGCCUACCUCUGCACUUAUCUUAACAUCAGAUAAAAAUAAACUUUUGUCUUUUUUAUGUAUUGUUACAUUGUUUUCUCCCAUAUGGACGAACCUAGUCUUAACUGGCACAGAGAGAAAAUUUGAAGUCCAAAGUCAUGAUUUUGUAAAUAAAAGGUUUAUAUAAGAGCAAGUUUUUAAAAAUUUAUAGUGCAU